CCUGGCCCCCAGAGCCCGGCAGGACAGGGCGGUGGAAUUAGCUGUCUCGUGGGACAGCACCCAGGGGCGGCUCCUGGACUCCUGCCCUUGUCUCCACCGCGCACAGUUCUCACGGGGAUUAGCCUGAGGCCCAGCUCCUGCUCUCCUCGCACCCAGCAGGCGCGUCCUUCCCUUCUCUCUGCACCUGAGGCCCAGCUCCUGCUCUCCCCGCACUGAGAGGAGCAGGCCCAUCCUUCCCUUCUCUCUGCACCUGAGGCCCAGGUUCCUGCUCUCCCCGCACCAAGCAGGCACGUCCUUCCCUUCUCUCUGCACCUGAGGCCCAGGUUCCUGCUCUCCCCGCACCAAGCAGGCACGUCCUUCCCUUCUCUCUGCACCUGAGGCCCAGGUUCCUGCUCUCCCCGCACCAAGCAGGCACAUCCUUCCCUUCUCUCUGCACCUGAGGCCCAGGUUCCUGCUCUCCCCGCACCAAGCAGGCACGUCCUUCCCUUCUCUCUGCACCUGAGGCCCAGGUUCCUGCUCUCCCUGCACCCAGCAGGCAUGUUCUUUCCUUCUCCCUGCACCCACCUGGAAAAGCUGUCCCCCUCGCAGCUGCUCAGACUCCCUCCUGACCCUGCUGCUUUCCACAGAACUUUCUGGCAGCAUAGAGGUGAUGGAAAACAGAAGCACACAGCCCAAAGGGGAGUUCUGGAAGCUGGGCCAUGUCGCUGGGAUCUUGGCCCAUCCCCCUCAGGUUGCUCCCAUUCCAGGCGACUCCUAAAGGCUCUGCCACUGCCCCUGAACUCAGGCUCUCUUGCAGGGGGAAGGGGUGCUUCCGGUUGACCAGCAGCAUUCAGGGGCUCCAGGUCUGCUUCCCACAGCUGCUGCUGGCUCAAUAUACAUUUUGCAAAAGAAAGGAUGCAAGGAUUCGGAGAAGGAGGCACCUUCGAGAAGCUGUAGACCCACCAAAAUGUUCCCCAGCUUGCUCACAUGUGCUAACCUCGGCCUCCACCCUGACCACACCCACCCCUCCUGUACCUUCUCAUCCAACAAGCCUGCACCUGUGA
rnacentral:lncRNA from 1 species